rnacentral:lncRNA from 1 species
CACCGUCGACUCCAUCGGCACCGGCUCUACCAGCCGCCAGCCACGGGACUCCGUCGACACGGUACCAGCCUGGGCGGCCACCCGUCGUAUGCCGCUCAGACUGAGUAGGCGGCAGGAGCUGAGGAUGUGGUUGCAGGUAUCAUUUUACUUGAUGGCAUUAGAGUUCGUGUUUUAUUUGAUACCGGUGCAUCGCAUUCAUUUAUAGAUCGGCUGUUUGCCGAGUUGCAUGGCAUCCCUU